CCAAUGUGUUAUGAGCUAGUACACCGUUUGACUGACAUUUGUGUCCCCGGCAUUUCUACUUUCGUGUGUCGCACUUGUAGAUUAUCCACUUGUAUUUAUCAUAGAUUGGUUUAGAGAUAUAGACGUAGAUACAGUCUGUUACUUUCAUACUCUGCUUAAUCAUGCCCGGAUUUUCCGACAGAGAUCGUGGCAGAGACAGGGGGUAUGGGGGUGCACCUCGUUUUGGAGGCGGCGGUGGUGGAAGUAGGGGUGGACCACCACAGGGGAAAUUUGGCAACCCAGGUGAAAGACUGCGUAAAAAACACUGGAACAUGGAUGAGCUCCCAAAGUUUGAGAAGAACUUCUACCAGGAGCACCCGGAUGUGUCCCGCAGACCACCUCAAGAGGUGGAGAACUAUCUGAGAAGUAAAGAAGUAACAGUGAAAGGCAGAGACUGCCCCAAGCCAAUGAUGAAGUUUCAUGAGGCCAAUUUUCCAAAUUAUGUGAUGGAUGUGAUUGCCAAACAAGGAUGGGCUGAGCCAACUCCUAUCCAGGCUCAGGGCUGGCCUCUGGCCCUCAGUGGGAAAGACAUGGUGGGCAUCGCCCAGACAGGCUCUGGUAAAACCCUUGCUUAUCUGCUGCCUGCAAUCGUGCACAUUCAACACCAGCCAUUCUUGGAGCAUGGAGACGGACCUAUAUGUUUGGUGCUGGCCCCGACCCGUGAGCUGGCCCAGCAGGUGCAGCAGGUUGCCGCUGAGUACGGCAGGGCCUCCCGUCUGAAGUCUGUCUGCGUCUAUGGUGGAGCCCCCAAAGGACCCCAGAUUCGGGACCUUGAACGAGGUGUUGAGAUCUGUAUUGCCACCCCAGGGCGUCUCAUUGACUUCCUGGAGGCUGGGAAGACCAACCUUCGCAGGUGUACCUACCUUGUGCUGGAUGAGGCUGACCGUAUGCUGGACAUGGGCUUCGAGCCCCAAAUCCGCAAAAUUGUGGACCAAAUUAGACCGGAUCGUCAGACCCUCAUGUGGAGUGCCACCUGGCCCAAGGAGGUGCGUCAGCUGGCUGAGGACUUCCUAAAGCAGUAUGUCCAGAUCAACGUGGGUGCUCUGCAGCUCAGCGCCAAUCACAACAUCCUGCAGAUAGUGGACGUGUGCAACGACGGAGAGAAGGAUGACAAACUCCUCCGGCUGCUGGAAGAGAUCAUGAGCGAGAAGGAGAACAAGACCAUCAUAUUUACCGAGACCAAGAGACGCUGCGAUGAGCUCACCAGGAGGAUGAGACGAGAUGGCUGGCCAGCAAUGGGUAUCCACGGAGACAAGAGCCAGCAGGAGAGGGACUGGGUUCUCAAUGAGUUCAAAUACGGCAAGGCCCCCAUCCUCAUCGCCACCGACGUGGCCUCCCGCGGUCUAGGUCAGUAUGGCUUUGGUUAAACCCUCUGGUUGUUUUCCUCAAUAUUUUCACUUUUUUAAAGAAAGUGGUUUUGGCUUUCUUUAACUUCUAUGCAUUUUCUGAGUUUUUCUCACCUAAAGGUGCAGUCUUUGUGGCAGGGCCUAGGCAUGACAAGUUCCAGGCCUCGAGGGGGAAGGAGGACAUAUUGGAAAUGAAGUUGCCCAACUGGCUGCCACCCAGUGGGCCUAGAGAGGUGAAAGCUCUGUGUGCCAGUAAUCCUCAAGUCAAAAGGCAGUGUGGCUAAGCCUCGUUUCUGAUAUCUUUUUUUAUUUUUUAUACUUGACAUUAUUUGUUCUCUGUCCAUGGAUUUUACCUGACAAAUGCCUUCGUCGAGACGUUUCCAACUCAAACGUUACACACACAAAAACAAACCCUUGACGUGACCAUUUGCCUUGCAUGCGUUUUGUAGAGGGCACUGUAUUGCAAGUCACUGUUUGAGAUUUGGAGCGAUUCUGUUAGUUACGGAGCUUGUCCCCGAAAAAAGCAUGGGUGUUUUCCAAAUGUCACAGCUUUCCAUUGCUAUAUAUUUUUUUCUCCCUCACUCAAAGCACUGGUUUUCUUGAAAUGGAGAGAGCAGUUUUCAACUUACUGUUGUCGAAUCGAAAUUGAUGAGAAACUGGCACAUGUGUUUAAGGGGCUAUGGGAACAUCUAGAGAAAGUGAAAUAGAAGAGCUUCAAAAACCAAAGUUCCUCCCUCGCCUGCUUUUUAAAAGUCAUGUCGAGACCUGCCAACGAGAGACAUUUUCUCAAGUGAACGAACACUGGCUUCUGGGAAGAUCUUGCCUCGACGAGACUGAUGGGGGCGGGGUGCUCUAUGCUCUCUGAGGGGCACCACAGGGGUCAAUACUUGGGCCUUUUUCAUUUUUGCCUUUUUUGGGUCCCCCCUCAAAUUAGUACUUGGUCUAAUCGGUCUUGGCAAGACGUGCAGUGAGGCCUUUAUUAGCAAGCUUCUCAUGAGUGUGUACUGGGAAAAGGGACCUUCAGAACCCAUACCAACUGAAAGGUCCUAUAUUGGCACACGAGGAGGCAACAGUGCACAUAGCGGCCCUACUGCGUAGAAGCUCCUGGAUGUCACUUGACAAUUUGUGGGGGAGUUCGCUGCAUUGGGAAAGGACUAGUGAAUGCAUACUCCUUAAUGAUGUGGAGGAUGUGAAAUUUGUCAUAAAUUAUGACUAUCCUAACUCCUCUGAGGACUAUAUCCACCGCAUUGGACGCACGGCCCGCAGUCAAAAAACGGGCACUGCCUACACCUUCUUCACCCCCAACAACAUGAAACAGGCCAGUGACCUCAUAGCUGUGCUCCGCGAAGCUAACCAGGCUAUCAACCCCAAGCUUCUCCAGAUGGCGGAGGCCAGAGGAGGUCGUGGAGGGGGGGGAAGAGGUGGCUUUAGGGAUGACCGACGAGAUAGGUAUUCUGGGGGGAGGAGUUACGGUGGUGGUGGUGGUGGUGGUGGUAGUAGUUACAGGGACAAGGAUAGUGACAGGGGGUUCGGGGGUGGACCAAAGAGUGCCUUUGGCGCAAAAACCCAAAAUGGAGGGGGCUACGGGGGUAGCACCUAUAACAAGGGUGCUAGCUCUGGCGGUAGCUAUGGCAACAGCUACAGCAGCAACGGACAGGCUAGCUUCGGCGCCACCAAUCAGGUGGGUGCGUUUGGUGGCCAGAACUUCCAGGCCCCUCCACAGUUUGGAGCCGCACAGGCGGCCACCCAAAACGGCAUGGGUCGCCCGCCGUUUCCUUUUAACCCACAGGCGCAGCAGCCCCAACAACCCCCACCCAUGGUACCCUACUCUAUGCCUCCUCCUUUCCCACAGUAACUGACAAGGUGUAGAUUGUGUGCACAAUUCACAACGAAACCACCCUUUUUCCCCUCUUGUCUUUUUAAAUCUUAUAUGAAUAUUAUUAUCCUUUGUACUGUUUAACUUUUUUUUGCUUACAGCAGGGUUGGAAUUCUUCAGUAACCCCAAGCAUUGAAAUGAGUCCCAAGGGGGCUGUUGAAGUGCAUCUUUAACUGGUGCACCUCUCCUUGACUGUUUUUAUUUGUUACAUUCCUCAGUAAUUUAUUUUUACUAAGUAAUGCAGAUUUUGAGUUAGUGGUAUGUUUUAAAGUGAUAUGUUAAGAUCUUACCUGGGGGUCAUGCAUGGGCCUUCAAAUAAAACAAUUCAAUUGAA